rnacentral:rRNA from 1 species
AUUGAACGCUGGCGGCAGGCCUAACACAUGCAAGUCGAACGGUAACAGGAAGAAGCUUGCUUCUCUGCUGACGAGUGGCGGACGGGUGAGUAAUGUCUGGGAAACUGCCUGAUGGAGGGGGAUAACUACUGGAAACGGUAGCUAAUACCGCAUAACGUCGCAAAACCAAAGAGGGGGACCUUCGGGCCUCUUGCCAUCGGAUGUGCCCAGAUGGGAUUAGCUAGUAGGUGGGGUAACGGCUCACCUAGGCGACGAUCCCUAGCUGGUCUGAGAGGAUGACCAGCCACACUGGAACUGAGACACGGUCCAGACUCCUACGGGAGGCAGCAGUGGGGAAUAUUGCACAAUGGGCGCAAGCCUGAUGCAGCCAUGCCGCGUGUAUGAAGAAGGCCUUCGGGUUGUAAAGUACUUUCAGCGGGGAGGAAGGGAGUAAAGUUAAUACCUUUGCUCAUUGACGUUACCCGCAGAAGAAGCACCGGCUAACUCCGUG